rnacentral:rRNA from 1 species
GAUGAACGCUGGCGGCGUGCCUAAUACAUGCAAGUCGAGCGAACAGACGAGGAGCUUGCUCCUCUGACGUUAGCGGCGGACGGGUGAGUAACACGUGGAUAACCUACCUAUAAGACUGGGAUAACUUCGGGAAACCGGAGCUAAUACCGGAUAAUAUAUUGAACCGCAUGGUUCAAUAGUGAAAGACGGUUUUGCUGUCACUUAUCGAUGGAUCCGCGCCGCAUUAGCUAGUUGGUAGGGUAACGGCUUACCAAGGCAACGAUGCGUAGCCGACCUGAGAGGGGGAUCGGCCACACUAGAACGGAGACGCGGUCCAGGCUCCUACGGGAGGCAGCAGUAGGGAAUCGUCCGCAAUGGGCGAAAGCCUGACGGAGCAACGCCGCGUGAGUGAUAAAGGUCUUCGGAUCGUAAAACUCUGUUAUUAGGGAAGAACAAAUGUGUAAGUAACUAUGCACGUCUUGACGGUACCUAAUCAGAAAGCCACGGCUAACUACGUG